rnacentral:rRNA from 1 species
UUUUCUGGUUGAUCCCGCCAGAGGUUACUGCUAUCGGUGUUCGCCUAAGCCAUGCGAGUCAUAUGUUCUUCGUGAACAUGGCGUACUGCUCAGUAACACGUGGAUAACCUGCCCUUGGGUCUGGGAUAACCCCGGGAAACUGGGGAUAAUACCGGAUAACGCAUAUAUGCUGGAAUGCUUUAUGCGUAAAAUGGAUUCGUCUGCCCAAGGAUGGGUCUGCGGCCUAUCAGGUAGUAGUGGGUGUAAUGUACCUACUAGCCUACAACGGGUACGGGUUGUGAGAGCAAGAGCCCGGAGAUGGAUUCUGAGACAUGAAUCCAGGCCCUACGGGGCGCAGCAGGCGCGAAAACUUUACAAUGCGGGAAACCGUGAUAAGGGGACACCGAGUGCCAGCAUCAUAUGCUGGCUGUCCAGAUGUGUAAAAUACAUCUGUUAGCAAGGGCCGGGCAAGACCGGUGCCAGCCGCCGCGGUAACACCGGCGGCCCGAGUGGUGAUCGUGAUUAUUGGGUCUAAAGGGUCCGUAGCCGGUUUGGUCAGUCCUCCGGGAAAUCUGAUGGCUCAACCAUUAGGCUUUCGGGGGAUACUGCCAGGCUUGGAACCGGGAGAGGUAAGAGGUACUACAGGGGUAGGAGUGAAAUCUUGUAAUCCCUGUGAGACCACCUGUGGCGAAGGCGUCUUACCAGAACGGGUUCGACGGUGAGGGACGAAAGCUGGGGGCACGAACCGGAUUAGAUACCCGGGUAGUCCCAGCCGUAAACGAUGCUCGCUAGGUGUCAGGCAUGGCGCGACCGUGUCUGGUGCCGCAGGGAAGCCGUGAAGCGAGCCACCUGGGAAGUACGGCCGCAAGGCUGAAACUUAAAGGAAUUGGCGGGA